GUGGGGAAUAUUGGGCAAUGGGCGAAAGCCUGACCCAGCAACGCCGCGUGAGGGAAGAAGGCCUUCGGGUUGUAAACCUCUGUCUUUGGUGACGAAACAAAUGACGGUAGCCAGAGAGGAAGCCCCGGCUAACUACGUGCCAGCAGCCGCGGUAAUACGUAGGGGGCGAGCGUUGUCCGGAAUUACUGGGCGUAAAGGGUGCGUAGGUGGCCUUUUAAGUUGGAUGUGAAAUCCCCGGGCUUAACUUGGGUGGUGCAUCUAAUACUGGAGGGCUAGAGUGCAGGAGAGGGAAGCGGAAUUCCUAGUGUAGCGGUGAAAUGCGUAGAUAUUAGGAGGAACACCAGUGGCGAAGGCGGCUUUCUGGACUGUAACUGACACUGAGGCACGAAAGCGUGGGGAGCAAACAGGAUUAGAAACCCGGGUAGUCC
rnacentral:rRNA from 1 species